UUUCUAAAAACUUUUAUUCUUCAAUUUCCAAACAUCGAAUAAAGUCGAGUAGAGUAUAAGUAUAAGGAACAGCAUUCAGGGAAGAGAUAGAGAGUACCGCCGAGAUGAGGAUCACGAGGAUCGCUCAAACCUCUCGACAACUUGAUAGUACAAUGUACUAGCGUGUAAGUCUACGCCCAACUAGCUCUAAUACAAGAAGAAAACCGAGAGAUGAUCGAGAAAGAUAGACAUCGACAUCGAGUUGUGUUUUCUCGCUUGCUCACUCACUGGCUGGUCCCCUUGGCUUCUGAAAUUAGAAAACUUUUUAUGUACGCCAAUUUUUAACCAGCAGUCGCUCUUCAGCGGUAAGAUUUCAAAUUCUGAUCUCAUCGAUUCGUAUUGACCCGACUCGAUGCCAUAAAUUUCCAUACUGCGCUCACAUUACUUGCUCCAAUGUCGUGAGUGUUACUUUUACUUAUGCUUGUACUCGUAUAUCUUGCAUGGGGAUCGACAAAUAACAGUAAUCCACAAGAAUUGUUUAUGGGUAUUAUGGUAUGUCUGAUGAUAAUGACGCUUACCUAAUCAAUUUGACUGAAAGUAAUAGAUAAAUAUAAGUGACUCAAAUACAAUGGUAAGGAUUUGUACUAUUAAUCCCCUUGGAAACAAUUAAAAUUAAGCGAUAUAUGUUAUGUUAUGUCGUAAAAGUAAGUUUAACAACAAAAGCUCUGAUUGUGGUCAGGAAGAAAUAAAGGAUUAGUAUGUCGACUAUCAAGAGACAGUUGUGGAGCGUGUGCAAAGUUGGUAUUUAAUAAUAGUUCCUCGGAUGCCGUCAAGACUGGUAGCGGUAACAUGCAACACCGGGAAAAGUUAAUUAACCCUUCUGUCAUUCGCUCGAGUAAAACUGGUUAAAAACCAAAAAAGUAUCCUACAAAACGUUCAUUUGCCAUAAAUCAUUUGCAAGUGAGUAAGUAUAGCAGUAGUAUAUAUCAGUAAAAAGGUCGUCGGCAAAUGUACUGAAUAUUCGCGUGCUACGCCACCAGCCCUGGUAGCUUCUUCGUUAACGAGAACGUGUCCUGUCGUCGUUUAAAUUAUUUUUUCUCUUCAUUUUGCAUUCCAUUUCUCCUGGCUCUACAUAAUCCCUCAUUUGCUCCCUCUUUCUCUAUUUCUCUCUUUCUCUUGUCCUUGCAAUUGACACUAAAACAAAUGGCCACGAAAUUCUUUAUGAAUACCAACCACUGUUGUAGCUCUAGUGUAUUAAAUCCUUUUUGUUCGUGAUAAACUAUAAACAAUUGUGUUUAUCAGCGGUAGCUUUAUAUCUGGCAUCAGUAUCGAGUUAUCGCGAUACCGAGGGAGACCUUUGCUGUCUGCCGUAUGUCACUUUUUCCGUCACGCAAUAAAAGCUUCUAAGAAUUACUAAAAAGAGCUAAAUUGGUAACAAAAAGAGGUAUGCUAUAUAUUCAAAGCCAAAAAUAAUAACAACAUUCAGCCUUACUCCCUAGAGACACAGAUAAUGAGUAAUGACUAAGCGAGUAAGUGGGAAAUUUAAUGAACACAGGACAUUGGAAACAGGGGAUGACGGAACAGAGUCAAGAGGGAGUCCGCACGUACACGUGUGACGAACAAGGGAAGCUAAAAAUUGAUGUUUGCAUGGGUUAUGGGUUUGACAUUUAAAUAACAUCAUUGGUUUCAAUAUUCACCACACUAAAUAUAAAUACAGGCUAUCCCUUUACACAACAAACAGUCCAGGAGAUUACAGAUCGCGGUAUUGAUUCCGUAUUCUGAUAACCGACAGCAAUAUAGUACCAGAGAAGUUCUGUUCCACCAAGCUUUUUUGGUCAGGAUCAGACAAUACGCCAGAUGGUAGCACGUACCAAUACCUUUAUCUAUACCUAUACAUUUAUACGAAAGUGGUUUCUUUGAUAGCUGAGGAAUUUGCAAAUAGAAAACCAAACGAUAGUGGAAAUUUACCGCUCUCAUUGUCACAGAGUUUUCGUGAUAUCGAUUUAGCGGUGGAGGUUGUAGGUUGUAGGUGGAUUGCGACGACCCCUCAAGCAAACCCCGUUAACGGCGAGGACUGAGAAGGACGAGCACAAGGGGCCACAUCGUUGUACUGUUGGCUGGGGAUAUAGUGAAAGAGAAGACUAUGAGGGUGUGUAUGCUAUGUUGCUACAGUGGAGUACAGUAUAGGUAGCUCGAAACGAUGAGAGUACCAUGCUAGAAGUAACACGCGACUGGUACGGUACCAACUGCAUUGGUACUGAAUAGAAACUUUCACCAGGAAUUGGUUUUGUUCGGGACGGCUGCUCUGCGGUUACCAGUCAUACAGGGUUAGAGAGCUUGCUAAAACCGACUGUAGUUGUAAUUUCAACAAAGUGUUUUACUCUCUAACUGUCUAUGUCGAGAUUUUUUAGUUUUUAUUCUUUCAUCUUUCCAGAAAACGAUCACUUCAACGUGUAAUGUUCGCUGUGCAACCAUUUUUUUAUUUCUCUCUUUCUAAUAGUUUUAAAACUGCACAAGUUUUUAGCAUAUCGAUCACCCAAGCGUUAAACUCAUUUCACCAUACUUUUUUCAACCUUUUUUUUAUAUUUUUGUUUAAGAGUACUUUUACUAUUACUAUAACUGCUACAUCUCCAGAUGGGUACAAACGUCAGACUUUGAGCAAGCUCUAUGAAUUAUAUGAAAAGUGUAAGUCGGUAACUACGACACUGGCUUCCAAAAACUGCAACUCCUAUAUCUCUUUUUCUUUUUUUUACCUUUCUGUUCUUUUUUUUCACUUUUGUAGGUAUUUUUACAGCUUCUGCUCCCAGUGAGUAUGGGUCGGCUGUUGCUACUGGUGCACACUUUUAUUCCCGUUAUACGUUUACUAUCUAAUAUCCAAUACCGAUACGAUAUUGUAGGAUCCACGUGUCCUUUAUCCCCCAUAACGAUCGAAAGAUUUAUACGAUCGGUAAGCUCAUAUCUCACAAAAGUUUCGCACUACAGACUAUACAGUUUGCCGCGAGUAAAAAAGAGGAGACGGAGAAGGAAAAAGAAUAAAGUAAUAAGAGUGCAAGAGGUUGGUUUCUUUAGAUGCUAGAGGUGGGUAUUGCGGAGAAACUCGAGAGCAAAAGCAAGAGCAGAAUCAGAUUCAAGUGGCUCGUGGAUGCAAUAAAGAAGAAAGUCGCCCGAGUCCUGAGUACGAGAAAGGGAUUUUUGUUUCCUCCUUUAGUCGCCACUGUC